AGUUUAACUGUUUCAACAUAUUCAUUGUUUCACUCUCACCUACAUUAAUGUGCGUUUUGUAAAUUAAUCUUACCAAUUUCAUUAAUUAUUCAUUUAAAAAUUUCCGUUGCCAUGACUCCCCUGACGUUCUUCUUCCUUUCCAUCGCCAUCAGCCUUGUCGUUUCAGAUGAUAAGCCAGUCACGAUUACGAACAAAUUUAGCGGGAACGCCCUAUCCAACUAGGAGCCACCCGUCCUCAUGGACGGGAAGAAUGACAAAUCUCCCCAUUUUGCCUGGGUCGUCAAUUCCAACGGGACAAUUAGGACGUACGCUAAUCCAGGAUUUACUUUCUGCGUCACGACCAGCGAACCCCACGGAUUCGGAAAGCUUGAACCGUGUCAAUUUACCAGCCAGGUAUGGCGGGUAACGAAAUCAGCAACAAUGCCCAACAUUUUCAUAAUCUCGAAUGACCGUAACCAAUGUUUAAACAAUAAACUACAAAGGGAUACUGUUUGUGGCUAUACGCUCCACGAACAAUGGAUCAUCGAGCCUUACGAGGCGGCGAAGUAGAUGCCUAAUUUUAUUUAGUUAUUUAAAAGUAGAGUAUCGUUAGUAAAUAAAUAUGUGUAAAACUUUAAUAAGUUUUGCAUACAUACAUAUUUA